rnacentral:rRNA from 1 species
UGGGGGAUAUUGCGCAAUGGGGGCAACCCUGACGCAGCAACGCCGCGUGAAGGAUGAAGGUUUUCGGAUUGUAAACUUCUUUUAUUAAGGACGAAACUUGACGGUACUUAAUGAAUAAGCUCCGGCUAACUACGUGCCAGCAGCCGCGGUAAUACGUAGGGAGCAAGCGUUGUCCGGAUUUAUUGGGUUUAAAGGGCGCGUAGGCGGGACGGCAAGUCAGCGGUAAAAGACUGCAGCUAAACUGUAGCACGCCGUUGAAACUGUUGACCUCGAGACGAGACGAGGGAGGCGGAACAAGUGAAGUAGCGGUGAAAUGCAUAGAUAUCACUUGGAACCCCGAUAGCGAAGGCAGCUUCCCAGGCUCGUUCUGACGCUGAUGCGCGAGAGCGUGGGUAGCGAACAGGAUUAGAUACCCUGGUAGUCCACACCGUAAACGAUGCUCACUGGAUCUUGGCGAUACACGGCCAGGGUUCAAGCGAAAGUAUUAAGUGAGCCACCUGGGGAGUACGUCGGCAACGAUGAAACUCAAAGGAAUUGACGGGGGCCCGCACAAGCGGAGGAACAUGUGGUUUAAUUCGAUGAUACGCGAGGAACCUUACCCGGGUUUAAAUGUAGAUUGCAUGAGGUGGAAACACUUCUUCCCUUCGGGGCUAUUUACAAGGUGCUGCAUGGUUGUCGUCAGCUCGUGCCGUGAGGUGUCGGGUUAAGUCCCAUAACGAGCGCAACCCCUAUCGCCAGUUGCCAUCGGUUCAAGCCGGGCACUCUGUCGAGACUGCCACCGUAAGGUGCGAGGAAGGCGGGGAUGACGUCAAAUCAGCACGGCCCUUACACCCGGGGCGACACACGUGUUACAAUGGCCGGUACAGAGGGCAGCCACGGGGUGACCCGGAGCGAAUCUCUAAAGCCGGUCGUAGUUCGGACUGGAGUCUGCAACCCGACUCCACGAAGUUGGAUUCGCUAGUAAUCGCGCAUCAGCCAUGGCGCGGUGAAUACGUUCCC